GUAUGCGAUCAUACCAGCACUAAAGCACCGGAUCCCAUCAGAACUCCGAAGUUAAGCGUGCUUGGGCGAGAGUAGUACUAGGAUGGGUGACCUCCUGGGAAGUCCUCGUGUUGCAUUCCU
rnacentral:rRNA from 1 species